UUUUUUUUCCUGAUCUUAGAGGAAAAGCUUUCAACUUUUCACCAUUGACUAUAUCAGCUGGAGGCUUGUUAUACAUGGCCUUUGUUAUACUGAAUACAUUCCUUCUAUACCCUUUUGUUGCAAGUUUUUACCAUGAAUAAACGUUGAAUUUUGUCAAAUGCUUUUUCUGUAUCUGAGAGAUCAAUGAUCUUUAAGUGGUGGGGAUGGUAGAGCUAGUAAACACUGAUUGUGAUUGUGGCCUCUCAGUAUCUACUCACUCCGCUUCUGGAAAAUAUUCUUUGUCCUGAUUUUUUUAGGGGUAGGGGAGGCUCAUGCCGACUCCUUGGGUGGUGGUCGGGGGAGUGCUGAGCAUGUGGUUCAUGUGGGCACAUAACAAAAACUGCAUUCAUGAGCUUUAACUUUCACCUUUGGCUUUUUCUUGUUCCAAGAAAGAAUCUGACACUGGAGUUGCAACAGCCACCUUGUGUCAAUAAGCAAAGAGCUGGCUGGAGAAGUCUGUACUGAAGAAAAGUGGUGAGCAUCAGGUGGGCAGGAAACCUACAUAGAAAAUACCCUGUGAUCAGCACUUUUGUCUUGCUGCUCUGGCUGCUCUCUGUAGAUCCCAGAUAUAAUAUGCUCAUUUCUUUCACUGUAUAAAAUGAACUGACUACAGGAAGAAACUGAGCAAAUUAACACCUAAAUCAAGAGGAAAUCAACAACCCUGGGAACCCACAGAACACGUCUGACAGCUGCAGGACUCAGAUUCUCAGUUCAACAAAUUAUGAUUCACGAAGACUCUCUGACAGGAAAAACAGUUUCUACUACAACCUAGUGGGUUUAUAUGUUAGUGUGUGUGAGCCUGAGGGG